GACGAACGCUGGCGGCGUGCCUAAUACAUGCAAGUCGAACGAACCGCGACUAAGUGCUUGCACUAAGUCAAGGUGAGUGGCGAACGGGUGAGUAACACGUGGGUAACCUACCUCAUAGUGGGGGAUAACAGUCGGAAACGACUGCUAAUACCGCAUAGGACAUAGGAUCACAUGAUCCAGUGAGGAAAGGUGGCGCAAGCUAUCGCUACGAGAUGGACCCGCGGUGCAUUAGCUAGUUGGUAGGGUAAAGGCCUACCAAGGCGAUGAUGCAUAGCCGACCUGAGAGGGUGAUCGGCCACAUUGGGACUGAGACACGGCCCAAACUCCUACGGGAGGCAGCAGUAGGGAAUCUUCCGCAAUGGACGCAAGUCUGACGGAGCAACGCCGCGUGAGUGAAGAAGGUCUUCGGAUCGUAAAGCUCUGUUGUUAGAGAAGAACAGCGCAUAGAGUAACUGCUAUGCGUGUGACGGUAGCUAAACAGAAAGCCACGGCUAACUACGUG
rnacentral:rRNA from 1 species